rnacentral:rRNA from 1 species
GAUGAACGCUGGCGGCGUGCCUAAUACAUGCAAGUCGAGCGAACAGACGAGGAGCUUGCUCCUCUGACGGUAGCGGCGGGCGGGGGAGUAAAACGUGGAUAACCUACCUAUAAGACGGGGAUAAAUUCGGGAAAACGGAGCUAAUACCGGAUAACAUGUUGAACCGCAUGGUGCAACAGUGAAAGACGGUCUUGCUGUCACUGAUAGAUGGAUCCGCGCCGCAUUAGCUAGUUGGUAAGGUAACGGCUGACCAAGGCAACGAUGCGUAGCCGACCUGAGAGGGUGAUCAGCCACACUGGAACUGAGACACGGUCCAGACUCCUACGGGAGGCAGCAGUAGGGAAUAUUCCGCAAUGGGCGCAAGCCUGACGGAGCAACGCCGCGUGAGUGAAGAAGGUCUUCGGAUUGUAAAACUCUGUUAUUGGGGAAGAACAAAUGUGUAAGUAACUAUGCACGUCUUGACGGUACCCAAACAGAAAGCCACGGCUAACUACGUG